rnacentral:rRNA from 1 species
GACGAACGCUGGCGGCGUGCCUAAUACAUGCAAGUUGAGCGCUGAAGGUUGGUACUUGUCCCAACUGGAUGAGCAGCGAACGGGUGAGUAACGCGUGGGGAAUCUGCCUUUGAGCGGGGGACAACAUUUGGAAACGAAUGCUAAUACCGCAUAAAAACUUUAAACACAAGUUUUAAGUUUGAAAGAUGCAAUUGCAUCACUCAAAGAUGAUCCCGCGUUGUAUUAGCUAGUUGGUGAGGUAAAGGCUCACCAAGGCGAUGAUACAUAGCCGACCUGAGAGGGUGAUCGGCCACAUUGGGACUGAGACACGGCCCAAACUCCUACGGGAGGCAGCAGUAGGGAAUCUUCGGCAAUGGACGAAAGUCUGACCGAGCAACGCCGCGUGAGUGAAGAAGGGUGUCGGAUCGUAAAACUCUGUUGGUAGAGAAAAACGUUGGUGAGAGUGGAAAGCUCAUCAAGUGACGGUAACUACCCAGAAAGGGACGGCUAACUACGUG